UGGGGAAUAUUGGACAAUGGGCGAAAGCCUGAUCCAGCCAUGCCGCGUGUGUGAAGAAGGUCUUCGGAUUGUAAAGCACUUUAAGUUGGGAGGAAGGGCAUUAACCUAAUACGUUAGUGUUUUGACGUUACCGACAGAAUAAGCACCGGCUAACUCUGUGCCAGCAGUCGCGGUAAUACAGAGGGUGCAAGGGUUAAUCGGAAUUACUGGGCGUAAAGCGCGCGUAGGUGGUUUGUUAAGUUGGAUGUGAAAUCCCCGGGCUCAACCUGGGAACUGCAUUCAAAACUGACUGACUAGAGUAUGGUAGAGGGUGGUGGAAUUUCCUGUGUAGCGGUGAAAUGCGUAGAUAUAGGAAGGAACACCAGUGGCGAAGGCGACCACCUGGACUAAUACUGACACUGAGGUGCGAAAGCGUGGGGAGCAAACA
rnacentral:rRNA from 1 species